CACUCCCGAGCCAGUUCUGACAAGUGACAUCAGGCAUCCACCUCUGAUGGAGCACAGCCCAGGCAGGACGGGGAGUAGAACCAACAGCCCAACUGUUCUGGACACCACAGCAAGACGCUGCGCGGAGCCGUGAACAUUUCUAGACAAACUCAGAUGUUCCCACCGCAGUGUGCUCAUCGAGGAAACAAAGGAGUGGGCAGCAGGGCCAGCAACCCGCUUAGCAAGAGUGAGAGUGAAUGGGGAGGGGCAGAGAGAGAGAGAGCGAGAGAGCGAGAGAGAGAGAGAGGGUCCCAAGCCAGCUCCACGCUGUCAGCACAGAGCCCAAAGUGAGGCUCGAUCCCACGAACCACAAGAUCAUGACCUGAGCGGAAACCAAGAGUCGGAGGCUUAAGAGACCGAGCCACCCAGACCAGACACCCCCACAAGGGAGGCAGCCAAAGGCCAGGCCGACAGCGUCACAAACCCGGGGAGCCGGGCCCCACGCAGGACGUGUCUGCGCACAGGUGUCUCACUGCCGUAUCCACCGCGACCCUGUCUCGCUUCGGGGAAGGAGAGCCGGCCCGCGAGCCCUCUUCACUGCACCUGCGGGUGCUUCCGUCUGCCAGACAGACUUUCGGCGGCGACUGACCUGACUUUUUGCUCACGUUCAGUUGCUUCCUUCAUGGAAAAUCUAAAUCAAAAGCAUUCGCUGAAAAGCUCAGACAGACAACGUAUCAGGUCUGACUAAUACGAAGGCCCGGAGAAGGGAAAGUGAAAUACGUCCUCCGUGCGACAAUAAACUACAACGCCACCUUGCGGUGUUAGAGCACCAAGUCUUCCGAAACGGUGGAGUGAGCGCGGAAAACAGGCAGCGUAAACGGGGUCCAUCCAGGCUGGCGCUGGACCACCUUCCAGACACACCCUGAACCCCAGGGAUCGGGACACCUUCAUCCUUCCCGAAAAGAAAUACAGAACGCUUGCCGUUUACUGCCAUUCGCGUGUGCAUUCUCUUGAAACUAGCUACGUCUCCAACUCAAGCCUGCAGGUGAUCCCUGUUCGGCAACAGGCCUGCCCGAGGCUCCCGGGUGACAGGAGCGUGCCCGUGGUCACACGGAGGAGGGCGUUCUGGUUGACCGAGUGAAUUCACUCUCACAGAAGGCAGAUGUGGACACGAGGCGCACGACACCCGUUCACGGUUUCUAGGGAACCACAUGCACGAAUCACAACAUCGGAGGCCGGCUGGAUAAGUGACAAAACAGGACUCUACGUAGCGGAACCGGUGUUUGUGUCCAAAAUAGUUUCAGGAGGAGGAAGAGUGGGUUUAAAAGUUCAGGUCACACCUCCGGUUUGGGGACUUUGUUUUCCUUAUUACAUUUCUCUCCCUCGGUGUAAGCGAACGAAAUUUCAAGUUCAAAAUGCCAGGCCCCAGGGAAAAAGCAAGAGCGUCCUCCCAGGAUCGUUCUCGGCACACAAGCGUGCUCGGCGAGCGCCUCCUCUCUGCCAUGAAGCAUCUCAGGGGCCCCACGAAUUUUAAAAACACAACUGCCACCGAAGGGCGUCCAAGCAGGCAGCUCAACAGGAAGUAAUUCUGAAAUGACUGGACUGAAUUAAACACUCAUGGUCCAUCCACUUGCACCGUGUGAUAGCCCACGGUGGGCGGGGCGCCAAUUCAACCCUGACUCUUCCCCGAGACAAGGACACCACCCGCGGUAGUAAUUACAGGGCAGCACAGAUGUUUUAAGACAACCUUUCUUUGUUUUAUUAAGUUCACUGCUUGUAAGCAAACAAAUUGCUUAGUCACCGAUUCCUCCGGUUUCCCGCCCCCCAUUAUGAAGAAACUAGUACACGCAGAAAUCUCUGGCAAGCUACGACGGUCCCCGCGGGUCCUGCCUUGCCCCGCUAUUCCUGCAGGCACCCGCUUCCAGCACUUUCCCAGGGAAGCAACGACAAAUGCCGUUCCUCUGUCUGAGCUGUGUGUGGCUGCCACGCUAAUUAUCCCAAAGCACCGCUUUUAUUGGCUUUUUUUACACUGCCCUCCUGCCAAAGCUGGCCCGGUUUUCAACACCAGCACAUCUGGCCCCAACCCAAUUUCCUAAUACCCUUCCUUUCCAACCCUGCACUCUGGCCACACUCCGCUACUGCCCCCCCCCCAGCCCCAGGCACACCGCCACUCUCCCACCCUGAAAGGGGCACCUAAGAGACCCUAAGACUGUGCGCCUGGCACAGACCUUUGACCUCUGCCCAACCCCUAGACAGACACCCAGGUGUCAGGUCCUGCCCCUCCCCCGUCUCUAUCCAAGUGAUAAGAGUUCGGAAGACAGGGACGUAGACAGCCCUGUAAGCCACAAAUUUCAAAAUAAACUCUGGCCGUGGCUCCUUCGGCCACUGGCUGAUUCUGGGGCUGGACCAGGAAAUAGGCAAGAUGAGUCCGAAGCAUCUCGUGCGGCCAGAAAGAGCCCUAAAGUGCACGUGUGUGCACACCCACACGCCA